rnacentral:SRP_RNA from 1 species
CAGCCGCCAAGUCUCAAAACACCUCCAAUCAACAAGCCCUGCGACAAGGCAGUACACCUCAAGAAGUACAGGAAGCAGAUAUGCCUCAAGAGCAGGUUUCUACAGGCUGCAAUCGCCGAGGGUUGUACUUACCAACACAGCAUUAUGUUUUGGAAUCUGAAGACAAAGAAGAGCCAAU